rnacentral:snRNA from 1 species
GAGCUCGCUUUGGCAGCACAUACACUAAAAUUGGAAUGAUACAGAGAAGAUUAGCAUGGCCCCUGUGCA